ensembl:lncRNA
AGCAGGGUGACAAUAUACAGCCUUGACGUACUCCUUUUCCUAUUUGGAACCAAUCUGUUGUUCCAUGUCCAGUUCUAACUGUUGCUUCCUGACCUGCAUACAGACAAACCACUCCCAUAUUCUUUCCUGGGGAAUCUCACUGACAGAGGAACCCGGCAGGCUAUAGUCCAUGAGGUCACAAAGAAUCGGACAUGACUGGACUGAGCAUGCACACACACAUCACAGAAGGUGAGUUAGGGCAAGGCCACUCCCUGCAUGCAGCAGAGAAACCAACCAAACAGAAAGUGGCCUUCACUGUAUUCAAGGGGAAGAAAACUCAGCAUAACUUAAGACCUUGUUUUCCUCCUUACCACCCAUAGGCAUUUGAAUUACGGCACUGAUACCAGAAAAUUACAGGAAGUUACAUAAAAUCAGAGAGAACUGUUCUUGGUUCAUGUACUGCUGAAGCCUAGCUUGAAGGAUUUUGAGAACAACUUUACUAGCAUGUGAAAUGGGCACAGUUAUAUGGAGAGAAGAGAGUGCGCAGAAGUUUCCAAACCGUCUGCACUUGGAUGGACACAUCUGCUGCAGCACCUCUUUUACUUCCUGAAAUCUGCAUCCCUGCUGUUUUUCCUUCUGGUUCACAUCUAGCAUUUCAAAAGCAUUACUAUCAAGAAAGAAACUUUCUUGCAUCUCCACUCAGUACUGCUUAGUCCUCAUAAACAUGAAGAGUUAACCAAGCAAAACUGUCAGAGAAUGCUUCUGCUGAAUUGAUUGGAAAGGUCUUCGUUUCAUCUUCUUGAUGUCCUCAGGUUCCAUUCCAAGAGCCGUC